rnacentral:rRNA from 1 species
UUCGGGCCUUGGUAGCGCAGCUAACGCGUGAAGUUGACCGCCUGGGGAGUACGGUCGCAAGAUUAAAACUCAAAGGAAUUGACGGGGACCCGCACAAGCGGUGGAUGAUGUGGAUUAAUUCGAUGCAACGCGAAAAACCUUACCUACCCUUGACAUGUCUGGAAUGCCGAAGAGAUUUGGCAGUGCUCGCAAGAGAACCGGAACACAGGUGCUGCAUGGCUGUCGUCAGCUCGUGUCGUGAGAUGUUGGGUUAAGUCCCGCAACGAGCGCAACCCUUGUCAUUAGUUGCUACGAAAGGGCACUCUAAUGAGACUGCCGGUGACAAACCGGAGGAAGGUGGGGAUGACGUCAAGUCCUCAUGGCCCUUAUGGGUAGGGCUUCACACGUCAUACAAUGGUCGGGACAGAGGGUCGCCAACCCGCGAGGGGGAGCCAAUCCCAGAAACCCGAUCGUAGUCCGGAUCG